GUACAAAGCCUCUAACUGUACAGAUCCUUAUCAGGUUCAUGUAAAUACAUUUGUAGAAGUCGGGGGGAAGAAACUUUGAAUCACUUCUCAACCAGAUUAUGCGCUUCACAGAGUGCCUGUUGGAGGUAGCUGAAAGCUUUUUGGUAAUUCAAGAAUCCCAUAAACCAGAAGUCAAAGUUAUCCAAAGUAACGAUUUCCAUGUACUUCUGAGAUGGAUUUUUCACAUUCUCGCUUUGGUUGGCUCUUUUUAUCUUUCUCAGUGGGAUAGAGACCUGCACAAAAGAAAAUGAAUUUACUUAGAUGUUAGCAAACAAGGAAAGGGAGAUCAGUUGACCUAGAGAGAUUUAUGUGACUAGCCCACCUUGUAAUGGAUCCUAAUCAAUUCACCAUUUGGAGAAGAGAAUUUGAUUGAUCUAUCACUGCAAAAGGCAAUCCUCUGAGAAGAGAUAAAGAGGAGACCAGCUAUAGGGCCUCCUGUUGUUGAUAAGUAGCAUUGGGAAGCCUUCAAUAGCUUCUCUCCUUCUCCAACAACAAAAAUUUGCUUGAAAACUCUCUUCACUCCUCCAACUUGAAGAAUCCUAGCCCCCAAGCUCAACUUUCCCUUCACCGUUUCAGAGAACUUAGGCCCUAAUCUCACUGCAGUUUCACAAAUGAAUGUUAAAAUCAGAAUGUUAAUGAUUCUUAAUCGUAACUGUAGCAAAAAAGUAAAAGUUAGCAACUCACCAUGCUCUCGGACUCCAUCCACAAAAUUAUCUGCCUUCUUCCUGUUUUUGUUGAUCCUGUAAUUUGUGGAAUCCCAUUUUUCUGCAAUUUCAAGACAAGGCCAUUAGCAAAAUGACUUCCAUUUUAAAGUCUUCUAUAACUAACAACUAAUAUGCAGAGUGGAAAGAGAUAGAGAGAGGGUUUUACUUUGGAUGAUUGCCCCAGAGCCAUUUGAAAGAGAUGGCUUAUCAUAUUGGCAGCUGACUGGGAUCCCAAUAAUAUGUUCUUGGAGUUGGCUCUUCAUAUUUCUGAAAGUGCUGCAAUUCAGUCUGCAGCAAGUGAUCUGGAAUGCUCUACUUUCUAGAGAUUGAAAAAACCCUUUGAGUUGAUCAACCCUGUACAAUGCAGGUGUAUUUAAAGGGACAAAAAUGGUGGGUGAAUCUUUAACUUCUGGUGGAUGACUCAUCCGUUGCUCAUAAACAAGAAUAAAGGCACAGACCUGAGCUUCAAGAAAAAAUAACUUCUAAUUAAAAAUAGUCUGAGAUGAUGGGGUAUAUUCGGUCUUUUUUGUAAGGCUAUGCAAGGACCUAUUCUUCUUUUGUUCAAUUUUCCAAGAGAUCAAAAGAAAGGUGUAUCUGGUUAAAUAUGGUGGGACAUAAUAAAAAGGGAAAUGAGAAAAAGGGAAGAUGACUCAGAGUAUGUGAAGAUGAAGCCUUUUGAGCUGGCAUUGUAGCUUUCUGAUGCUAAUACUAUAAGAAAAAGGGAAAUGAGAAGGCUUUACGUCAACCAAAUUACAAGCUAAAACAAAAGAUAUUUUAAUGGUUUCAUAAAGGAAGAUUGCAUCUAACCACCAAAUCAAACAGCCUCUUUGUUCUAAAAGGUUUAACUUUGAAUAGGACUCUUCUAUUCCCUGGAAUUCAGUCAGUACUUCUCAGGAAUUGCCCAGACAUUGGGGAUCAUACAACUCAGGAUGGAAUUCACGGAAAUUGUAGGAACAACCAGACCUCUUCUGGACAAGAAACUCUUGAGAACUUGGGUUCACAGGAGAAUGAAAUUCAUAGACACUUUGGGUGCAAGGAAAAGGAAAAGCCCCUAAAGAAAGAUCAACCUAUGAAGUCGAGAGUUGAUUAAAGUGGUCAUAAAAGGAAAACUCACUAUGCAUAAACCUGAUAGGACCAACCUGCCUUGUGCUUAUCACAAGCUCUGCAGCUGUCUUUUUAUCAAUCAUGUGCUUAUCUCAAGCUUUUUUAGCACUCUUUUUAUCAUCCAUGUUCUUAUCUCAAGCUUUUUAGCAGUCUUUUAAUCAUCCCUCUUCUCUUCAUCCUUAGAUUUUAAGGAAAAGAGGUGUUCCACCCUUUUCCAAAUGUCAACCUCUACAUAGAACUACUAAAAAAAUUUAUGGAGUCUAAGGACCAUGUUAAACGACAGUGUUGAUGAACAAUACAAUGGAUAUUUCAUCCAUCACAACAUCCAAGGGACCCCAGCAAGAUUCAUAAUCCUAAAUCUCAGUGAGAAGUGAGAACUUGUGAAGACAAUAGUAAAGAAAGAAAUCAUGAAAUUUUGGUCCUUUUUCACAGAUGGUCUUUAUUAUGGUUUGAGGGAGAAGCAUAUAUCAGAUCCUGUGAAUUUUGGCACAAAAGAAGAGACCUAUGUUUGGUAGGGCAGAACCAACUCAAAACCCCACCAAAUAGUAAUAGGGAACUUUUUCAGAAGACAUGUCAUGUUAGCUACUGGAAUGGAAGAUUCACUUUUAUUUGGGACAUGCCAUUUCUGUUAAAGCAAUAAAGAGGAAACUCCCUGUGCAUAGGACAAGCCGGCUCACAAAAGUUCACUUACCGACUUAACCAGCAGAUAAAUCUAGUUGCAAGUUUUACAGCUAAGCAAAUCACACUUCAGUAUUUCCAUCAGUACACUUGAGAAUUGAUACAUGGAAAUUUCAUUAGUAAGUAUAUAAAAAUAAGUACAGAGAAAAGGCUUUCGUUAAAAUACAGAGAAACAAGAACACAGCAGCUUCAGACAUCAAGUCCCUUAAGAUAUACUUAUUGAUGCCACUGACUUGUACACUACCAUAGAAAUGAGAUGUCAUCCAAGGAAAUUGAGAAAGCGAAUUAAAGAUUUCUGUUUUAUGGGACAAGGGUCACACUUGGAAUCAGAUGACAAGGUUAACCAUGUCCUUCGAUAUCCAGUUAUUACAUUGGAAUGGUUAUUUGAUUUUCCCCAGUCCUCUAUGUGGGAGUGAGUUGAAAGUGGCUGAGGUUGCUAUUAUUAGGGUGGGUAAUCACAAUGGUCAUCAAUAUCUUUGAACAAAAGGAAGAAAAUGAAUUCAUGCUACUGAGACUGAGAAUGAUGACUAAUCGACCUUGGAUUCUUUGACUCAAUCAUGUUGCACUACAGUUGAGAAUCUAUCACCGUUUGAUGGUUAUUUGAGUCAAUGAGACUGGUCUGAGAAGCAAAAUGAAUCUCCUCAUGAUAGAAAAACCUGGGGGUAACUCUGAUAUCAUAACCACCAACAGAGGAAUUGAUGACAAGUGCUAUAUUUGCUGCAGAAUUUAAGCUAAAAUAAACCAAAAUUCUGUUAAUAAUAUUCUGCAAGAUAGAGGAACAGUUUUUAGUUUAGUUUGAAUUUUUUUUUUUUUGAAUUCAUAUUUAACUUAGUAAUGCUAUUAAAAAUCUGUUGAAGAUAUGUAGGCAGAUUUUUUUUGGCUUUGUUUGUUUCUUUUCCUUUAUAAAUUCAGAUUUUGAAGCAACAAAAAGUGUGCAAUUUUCAGCCCCCAAAUUUUCUGUGUUUUUUUCUAACUCUAAAAACCUACAAAGUGGUAUCAAAGCCCUUUUUUCUUAAGGGACCUAUGAAGUGUGUGAGUGUAUCCAGUGUGAUAUAAACCACAACAAAUCAAAACCCAUCCUUCCUCUUGAAACCCAUAUGGCACGAUAUGAUUUUUUGUUUGCACCUCCAGUUUUCAUAGGUGAAAAUUACCAAAUAUGGACUAUGAAAAUGGAAUCGUACUUGCAAGCAUGUGACUUGUGGGACUUGGUGGAAACAGAUCCUAAGGAUCCAACAAUGGCACAAAUCAGGAACAAUAGAGGGGAAAGAAAGAGGAGAUAUAAGGCCAAGACCUGGAUCCACUCUGCAGUUUCAGAGACAAUUUUUUUUACAAAGAUCAUGACCUGUGAAACAACAAAACAGGCAUGGGAUCUUUUGAAAGAAGAAUAUCAAGGAAACAUCAGGAGAAAGAAAAUGUAGGUCUUGAACCUGAGAAGGGAAUUUGAAAUGCAGAAAAUGAAGGAGACAAAAGCAGUGAAGGAUUAUACGGACAAGUUGCUAAUGCUAGCUAACAAGAUUAGGAUGCUAGGGGAAGAAUUCUCUGACACAAGGGAAGUAGAGAAGAUUUUGGUGACCUUACUUGAGAGAUUUGAAUCCAAAAUCUCUUCACUUGCAGAGUCCAGGGAUCUGUCAAUAAUAACAUUGUCAGAACUCAUCAAUGCACUACAAGCUUAAGAGCAAAGGAGAGCUUACAGAUAGGAGGAGAUAAUUGAGGAAACAUUUCAAGUGAAAGAGGUUGAUCAAGCUCAAGGAGGCAACAAAGGAAAGAAACAGUGGAGUAAGAAGAGCAAUAAGAAGGGGGAAAACAGCAAUAGUGGAGGCAACCAGGGCAAGCACCCUCCAUGUCCUUAUUGUAAGAUAGUCUCUCAUUUGCAGAAAUAUUGCUUGUUUAGACCUGACAUUCAAUGCAGGGCAUGCAAAUAGUUGUGGCAUAUGGAAAGGGUGCGUAAAAACAAACAACAAGAAGGACACCAAGUGUAAGCAGUGGAUCAACACCAGGAAGAGCAACUUUUUGUUGCAUCUUGUUUUUCUAGUAGCAGUUCAAGUGAUGACUGGCUUCUAGACAGUGGAUGCACAAAACACAUGUCUUUUGAUGAAUCCCUUUUCAACAAAGUAAACAAGUCAGAGGUGUCAAAAGUCAGAAUUGGCAAUGGGCAGUAUAAAGAGAGUGUUGCAAUAAAAGGCUCCGCAGGUAUAAAGCUAAUUUAUGAUGUAUUACUUGUUCCAAAGAUUGAUCAAAAUCUGUUGAGUGUGGGACAAUUACUUGAAAAAGGUUAUUCUGUUGUGUUUAAGAAUAAAAUGUGUGUGCUUGCUAACUCAAAUGGUGUGGUGCUGUUUUGUGAAAAUGAAUAGCAAAAGUUUCAGUCUAAAUUGGAACAAGGACAAGUCUAGUGCAUAUUCAUGUUUUGGACCAGGCUGAGUUAUGACACAAGAGAAUGGGGCAUUUUCACUAUUCUGCAUUGGAUUACAUGCAGAAAAAGGAUCUUGUGCGAGGAAUGACUUACAAUAGAGGAGGAGCAGCAGUAUGUGGAGUUUGUCAGCUUAGAAAGCAAGCCAGAUUGUCAUUUCCUGUUAAUAAGGCAUGGAGAGCAGUUGAGAAGCUUCAAUUGAUCCAUACUGAUGUUUGUGGACCUAUGAGGACUGCAUCCUUAAGUGGUAAUAGGUAUUUUAUGGUUCUUGUUGAUGACUUUAGCAGAAUAUGUUAGGUUUAUUUUCUCAAACAGAAGUCUGAGGUUGCUGGUGUGUUUUGGAAGUUCAAAACAUGGAUUGAAAAUCAAAGUGGCUAUAGAAUUAAGGUGAUUAGAUCUGAUAAUGGGACUGAAUAUACAACUGACAAAUUUGUUAAGUUUUGUGAAGCUGUAAGGAUUGAACAUCAGCUUACUGCAACCUAUACUCAGAAAAAUGAAGUCAGUGAGAGGAAAAACAGGACAAUUAUGGAGAUGGUUGGAUGUCUGUUAUUUAAGAAGGAAAUGCCAAAAACAGGACAAUUGAGGCUGUUAAUACUGCUGUAUUUCUACUAAAUAGGUUACCAACCAAGGCUUUAAAGGGGAAAACACCUUUCGAAGUCUGGUAUCGUUUUAAACCUUCUAUUCAUAACUUAAGAAUUUUUUGUUGUUUGUGUUUUACUCAUGUUCCAGAUGCAAGGAGAGAGAAGCUGGAUCAAAAGGCAGACUAUGGAGUCUUUGUUUGAUAUAGCAGUCUCACCAAGGGUUACAGAAUUUAUCAACCCUUGACAAAAAAAAUAGUAAGUAGGGAUGUCAAAUUUGAUGAAGCUACAAGAUGGAAUUGGGAUAAGGCAGAACCAGAACAGGUUUAUACAGAAGAAAAAGAACCAGAAUUGCAAGUUGAUGAUGUGAUUGAUGAUAAGCCUAUAAGAGGUACUAGGUCACUUUCAAAAAUUUAUCAAAGGUGCAAUAUGGCUAUGUUUGAACCCGCAGGGUAUGAUGAGGCUAUUAAGGAUCCGAAGUGGAUUGCAGCAAUGGAGGAUGAGAUCAAGAUGAUUCACAAGAAUCAAAUCUGGGAGUUGGUGGACAGACCACUAUACAAGAAAGCUAUUGGUGUGAAAUGGGUUUUUAGAACCAAACUUAAUGUUGAUGGUUCUAUAAACAAAUACAAGGUAACGCUAGUUAUAAAAGGGUAUGCUCAAUUAUUUGGUGUAGAUUUUUCUGAGACUUUGCACCUGUAGCAAGGUUGGACACCAUUAGAUUGCUUAUAGCACUUGCAACAUAAAAGUAGUGGAGGAUCUACCAGCUUGAUGUAAAGUCAACCUUUCUAAAUGGUUAUUUGGAGGAAGAAAUUUUUGUUGAACAACCUGAGGAUUUUGUUGCAGAUCCAGAGAAGGUAUACUUGUUAAAGAAGGAGUUAUAUGGAUUCAAGCAAGCUCCAAGAGCUUGGUACAGCAGAAUUGAUGAGCAUUUGAAGAAGAAAGGCUUCAACAAAAGCAUAAGUGAAUCAACUUUGUAUAUCAAAGUUAUUGAUGAUGAACUAAUAGUUGUUUCAUUGUAUGUUGAUGAUUUGCUUGUCACAAGAAGUAAUGCAGAAUUGGUGUUAAGGCUCAAAUGAUGCAAGCAUUUGAGAUGACUGAUCUUGGAGAGAUGGCAUUCUUUUUAGGACUGGAGAUUCAACAAUUACAGCAAGGGAUCUUCAUUGAACAACAGAAAUAUGCCAAGGAAGUGUUGAAGAAAUUCAACAUGAAGGAUUGUAAGUCAUUAUGUACCCCUUUGGCUCAAAAUGAGCAAUUUAGUAAAGAUGAUGAUGCUCAAAAUGAGUAUUAUAGGUUGUUUGAUGUAUUUAAUAGCAACAAGACCUGAUAUAAUAUGCCUUGUAAGUCUGUUGUCCAGGUAUAUGCAUUGUGCAAGUGAGUUGCAUUAUAAGGUUGCUAAGAGGGUGCUCAGGUAUGUCAAGGGGACUUUUUUGAUCUUGGAAUAAAGUUUGAGAAGCGUUAGUUGUAUAUAUCUGUACUUACCAUAAUUAAGUUGUUUCCUUUCUUGUAGGCUGAUUCUUAGGGAUAAUACCUUUCUAAUUUAGGACUCUCAAUUGUAUAUAUAUGUGUAUUAUUCCUCUAAUAAAAAUACAGUAAUUCUCCAAAUACCUUUGUUGAAUUACAUGGUAUCAAAGCCUUUGGCUCAAAUUCUGGGUUUGUUAUUUCUAAGUCACUGAUUUCCAAUGACAUUCUACCAUUCUCUGUUCUUCUUGGGUCACGGAAUAAAAGUGACCUAGUAGUGUCAUUGCCUUCAGAGGGGGAAGCGCGGUGUAAAAUUACUUUGGAGAUUGAAUUUUACUACCAUGGAAAAGAAUAAGAAUUUUGUUGUUGAUAUAGCGCCUGUUGUGUCAAAAAUAACUGAACACAAAUUAAAUGGGUCUAAUUAUAUUAAAUGGAGCAAGAUGAUCAAAUUUUAUCUGAGAAGUGUUGUUAAAGAUGACCACUUGACUGAGGAACCUCCUAAUGAUAACACUAGAAAACUUUGGAUGCAAGAUGAUGCAGGGUUAUUUCUGCAAAUUAAAAACUCUAUUAAUAGUGAUAUUGUUGGUCUGCUGAGUCAUUGUGAAUUUGUUAAAGAGCUAAUGGAUUAUCUAAAUUUUCUUUACUCUGGAAAAGGAAAUGUAUCCCGGAUGUAUGAUGUAUGGAAUGCCUCCCAUUGUCCUGAGAAGGGAGCUAAAUCCCUCACUGCAUACUUUAUGGACUUCAAGAAAGUAUAUGAGGAAUUGAAUGCACUUAUGCCUUUCAGUCCGGAUGUUAGAGUACAACAGGCUCAAAGGGAACAGAUGGUUGUUAUGAGUUUCUUAUCCGGUCUCCCAUCUAAGUUUGAGACUGCAAAAUCUCAGAUUCUUUCUAGUUUUGACAUUGGUUCUCUUCAGGAAGUGUUCAGUAGAGUUCUACGAACUGAGAAUGUCCCGUCUUCUCAGCACACCAAUGUUCUUGCUGCAAAAGAAGAAAAUGGAGAGAAUGCAAGGAGGGUGAAUAACAGGGGCGGAAACAGGGCAUUUGAAAAUCGUGGCAAUGAUUCAAGUAUCAUUGUGUGUUUUACUGCCAUGAGGUUGGCCAUACCAAGAAGAAUUGCAAGAAAUUGUAGAAUCGGAAUCGGAGAAAUCAAAUUGCCAAUGUUGCUACAUCUUCAGACUCCUCAAACAAGAUUGUCACAAUGACAGCAGAAGAAUUUGCUAAAUAUUCACAAUAUCAAGAAGCACUGAAAGCAUCUACUCCUGUUAGUGCUUUGGCAGAGUUAGGUAAAACAUGUCUUGUCUCCUCCUCAAACAAAUGGAUAAUUGAUUCAGGUGCCACAGAUCAUAUGACAAGUAAUCAUAAACCUUUCUCUACCUUCAGAACACAUUCUACUCCUCCUGUUACUGUUGCUGAUGGUUCUACCUAUGAGACUAAAGGAUCUGGGACUGUGAAACCAACAUCUUCUAUUACUUUAUCUUCUGUGUUAAACUUACCAAAUUUGGCCUUUAACUUAAUCUCUAUCAGUAAACUUACCAAAAAUCUGAAUUGUAGUGUCUCAUUUUUCCUUGAUCAUUGUGUGUUUCAGGAUCUUAUGACGAAAUGGACAUUUGGUAAAGGACAUGUAUCUGAUAGGCUCUAUAUUCUUGAUGAGUGGGUACCUCGACCAAUUGCGUGUGUUAGUACAGCCUCUCCUGUUGAAGCUCAUUGUUGGUUAGGACAUCCUUCUCUACCGGUGUUGAAGAAAUUAUGUCCUCAGUUUGAUAAUUUACCUUCAUUAGAUUGUGAGUCGUGUCAUUUUGCUAAGCAUCAUCGUAGUUCUUUAGGCCCAAGGAUUAAUAAACGGGUUGAGUCUUUGUUUAAGUUAGUACAUUCUGAUGUUUGGGGUCCUUGUCCUGUUACUUCUAAAACUGGGUUUCGUUAUUUUGUUACCUUUGUGGAUGAUUUUUCUCAAAUGACUUGGAUUUAUUUUAUGAAGAAUCGUUCAGAAGUAAUUUCACAUUUUUGUGCAUUCUCUGCUGAGAUUAAAACCCAAUAUGAUGUGUUUGUGAAAAUAUUAAGAAGUGAUAAUAGAAAAGAAUAUGUGUCUAACUCAUUUUAGAACUACAUGAGUCACAAUGGGAUUUUUCAUCAAACAUCUUGUGUUGAUACUCCUCAAAAUGGGGUUGUUGAAAGAAAAAAUAGCUAUUUACUUGAGACGACUUGUGCACUCAUGUUUCAGAUGAAGGUUCUGAAACAAGUUUGGGCUGAUGCAGUUUCCACAACUUGUUUUUUGAUCAACCGUAUGCCCACUGUAGUGCUUAAAGGUGAUAUUCCGUACAAAGUAAGACAUCCACAGAAAUCACUCUUUCCAAUUGAACCAAGAAUUUUUGGAUGUACAUGCUAUGUUAGAGAUACAAGGCCUUCUGUUACUAAACUUGAUCCUAAGGCGUUAAAGUGUGUUUUCUUGGGGUACUUAAGACUGCAAAAGGGCUAUAGAUGUUUCUCGACUGAUCUCAAUAAGUAUCUAGUAUCAAUGGAUAUUGUGUUUUCAGAAGACACAUCCUUUUUCUCUUCACCCACAAGUUCUGCAAGUGAGGAGGAGGAUGAAGAAUGGCUUGUGUAUCAAGUGGUUAAUUCAAGACCAAUUGUUAGGCAAUCAAGUAUGGUUGAUUCUGAAGCGUCUCUUGCUCAUUUGGGUACUAUUCUUGAUGUUCCUCCUGCUCCAAUCAAACCACCAAUUGUACAGGUGUACUCUCGGCGCCUAAUGACAACAAAUACAUGUCCUGCACCAGCUCCUUUGUCAUCUGAUCCUUCCAGUGAUCUCAACCUUCCCAUUAGCCUUCGAAAAGGUAAACGACAAUGCAAAUCUACUUAUUCCAUUGCUAACUUUGUGUCUUAUAAUCACCUGUCAUCUUCCUCGAGUGUGUUUGUAGCCUCUAUAGAUUCUAUUUCAGCACCUAAAACUGUUAUAGAGGCCCUGAAUCAUCCUGGUUGGAAGAAUGCAAUGCUUGAAGAAAUUCGUGCAUUGGAGGACAAUCAUACAUGGAAACUUGUUGAUUUGCCUCAAGGAAAGACAAUUGUUGAUUGCAAGUGGGUCUUUGCAAUAAAAGUUAAUCCCGAUGGCUCUGUGGCAAGACUAAAAGCCAGGCUUGUAGCUAGAGGAUAUGCUCAGACAUAUGGAGUAGACUAUUCUGAUACUUUCUCUCCAGUUGCCAAACUGAAUUCAGUUUGACUAUUCAUUUCUAUUGUUGCUUCCCAACAGUGGAUGAUACAUCAGUUAGACAUUCUUCAUGGUGAUCUAGAAGAAGAAGUCUAUAUGGAGCAACCUCCUGGGUUUGUUGCUCAGGGGGAGUGUGGGAAGGUUUGUUGUUUGAAAAAAGCUCUCUAUGGAUUGAAGCAGAGUCCCCGUACUUGGUUUGGAAAAUUCAGUAAAGAGAUUCAAGCAUUUGGAAUGAACAAGAGUAAGAAAGAUCAUUCUGUUUUCUAUAAGAAAUCAGCUGCUAGUAUCAUACUUCUUGUGGUUUAUGUCGAUGAUAUAGUUAUUACAGGAAAUGAUCAUGCAGGAAUCUAUGAUCUUAAGGCAUUCAUGCAUUCCAAGUUUCAUACAAAGGACUUGGGUGAACUGAAGUAUUUCCUGGGAAUAGAAGUAUCAAGGAGCAAGAAAGGGAUGUUCUUAUCACAGAGGAAGUAUGUGCUUGAUCUGCUUGAAGAGAUUGGUAAGAUAGAAGCAAAGCCAUGUACUACCCCGAUGGUUCCUAAUGUACAGCUAAUGCCAGAUGAUGGAGAUCCCUUCUACAACCAUGAGAAGUAUCGGAGAGUGGUUAGGAAGCUGAAUUAUCUCACCGUGACGCGACCAAAUAUUGCAUAUGCAGUAAGUGUUGUUAGUCAGUUCACAUCUACGCCUAUAGUAAAGCAUUUGGUAGCUUUAGAGCAGAUUUUAUGCUAUCUGAAGAAGGCUCUUGGCCUAGGCAUACUAUACAGUAGUCAGGGACACACUCGCAUUGAGUGUUUUUCUGAUGCAGAUUGGGCAGGUUCUAAGUUUGAUAGAAGAUCCACUACAGGUUAUUGUGUGUUCUUUGGUGGGAAUCUAGUGGCUUGGAAAAGUAAGAAGCGAAGUGUUGUAUCCCGUUUGAGUGCAGAAUCUGAGUAUAAGGCCAUGACACAGGCUACUUGUGAAAUCAUAUGGAUACAUCAACUCUUAUGUGAAGUGAGAAUGAAGUGCACAAUGCCAGUGAAGCUUUGGUGUGACAAUCAAGCCGCUCUUCAUAUUGCUACGAACGCAGUCUAUCAUGAAAGAACCAAACACAUUGAGGUUGAUUGUCACUUCAUUCGUGAAAAGAUUGAGGAAAAUCUAGUCUCUACUGGCUAUGUGAAGACUGGAGAGCAACUUGGGGAUAUUUUUACAAAAUCUCUAAAUGGAACUCAAGUUGAGUACUUUUGUAACAAGCUAGGCAUGAUCAACAUCUAUGCUCCAACUUGAGGGAGAGUGUUAGCUGUAUAUAUCUGUACUUACCAUAAUUAAGUUGUUUCCUUUCUUGUAGGCUGAUUCUUAGGGAUAAUACCUUCCUAAUUUAGGAUUCUCAAUUGUAUAUAUAUGUGUAUUAUUCAUCUAAUAAACAUACAGUAAUUUCUCUAAAUACCUUUGUUGAAUUACAGGAAGAAAGAUAAGUUGGUUUUGCAUGGUUUUGCUGAUAUGAGGAGCACAUCAGGCUGCUUGUUUAGUCUUGGAUCAGGUUGUUUAUGUUGGAGUUCAAAGAAACAAGAAAUUAUAGCUCAGUCUACUGCUGGGGCUGAGUAUGUUGCAGCUAUUAUCGCUUUCAAUCAAGUCCUAUGGUUAAGGAAGCACAUGACAGAUUUGAAGAUGGUUUAGAAUGUUGCAACCAGAAUUUUGGUUGAUAAUCAAGCUGCCAUAGCAAUUUCUAACAAUCUAGUGUUUCAUAGCAAGACAAAGGCAUUUUAAAAUUAAGUAUUGUUUUGUUAGAGAAGUCCAAAAUAAUGAUGAAGUGAAUUUGGUACAUUGCAAGACUAAAGCUCAACUUGCUGAUAUUUUGAUAAAGGGACUAUCAAAAUCAAGGUUUGAAUUAUUGAGGAAAAAAAUUGGUGUUUGCAGCAAAAAUAGCAAGGAAUGAUGACAAGUGAUAUAUUUGUUGGAGAAUUUAAGCUAAAAUAAACCAACAGAGCUGGUAUCCUGUUGAGAAUAUUCUGCAAGAUAAAGGAACAGUUUUUAGUUUAGUUUGAAUUUUUUUUUUUUUUUGAAUUCAUAUUUGACUUAGUAAUGCUAUUAGAAAUCUGUUGAAGAUAUGUAGGUAGAUUUUUUUGGCUUUGUUUGUUUUUUUUCCUUUAUAAAUUCAGAUUUUGCAGCAAUGAAAGGUGUGCAAUUUUCAGCCCCAAAUUUUCUGUGUUUUCUAUUCUUACUCUAAAAACCUAUAGAAAUGUUUCAUGUGUUGUUGUCUAGGACCUGAAAAAGACACAGCUCUUUAAGUUUCAGGGAAAACUUAUGAAGCCAAAUAUCUGAAAGGAGGAGGAUGUUCCAUAUUGUUUUGAGAAUCAAAAUUACUCACUUCAGAUUCACGGUGGUCAAGGACCUAUCAGUGAUCCAGUCAGGGCAAUAUAGACCAAGCUUAUUUGGAAUUGCACAAGUUCAUGUCUAUAACUAGCUUGGAUACCAUGAAAAUAGCAAUUACUCUAGAAUAACUGAUUCUAUCUACUUAUGGAAAACCAACAGUUAAAGAAUUGUAUGUGUGAAGUGUUGUUGGCUCUAGCUAAGCAUAGCAGAUGAAGCAGAGGGGAAGAAAUGUAUCAACUUGAAUCACUUUUUCAGUAGAUUAUAGGCUCGGUAGAUUUUUUGUUGAAAGCUUUCUGAUAAUUCACAAAUGUCUGAAAACUCCUAGGGAAGUAGCCUUCGAAUGUUUUUUUUUUUUUUUCAACACUGAAAAAUUGCUUGAAAACUCUCUUAAAACCUACAAUUUGAAGAAUCCGAGGCCCCAAGAUCAACUUCCCCUUCAUUGUUUCAAAGCUCUUAAGCCUUAAUCUCACCACAGUUUCACAAAUUCUGUUUCGUUCUUGAGAACCCAGGGGAGAUGAAAGCAAAAUUUCAUCCUGUUACAAACUCUCUUUCCAGCUCUAGGGUACACAUCUUCGUACCACUUUGGAGUAGGAGCAAUGGAAUGUGUCAUAUGGCAUAGCUACUCAAGCACUAGCACAAUCAUCACUUUGGAAGAACUUGUUUUUUGCACAAGUGGAAUAUAAGGGGUAGAAGAAUUGGAGAUCAAUUUCUCAUUAGAAAAAAUUUGUACAAAGCCUUUGACUGUGCAGAACUCUAUUAGGUUCACAUAAAUACAUUUGUUAACGUGGGAGGAAAGAACUUAAUGGCUUGAAUUACUUCUGGACUGGAUUUGGCACAAGAGAGAUUGUCUGUUGAAGAUAGUUGAAAGUUUUCUGGUAAUUCAAGAAUCCCAUAAACCAGAAGUCAAAGUUAUCCACGGUAAUGAUUUCCAUGUACUUCAGAGAUGACUUUGUCACAUUCUCGCUUUGGUUGGUUCUCUUGAUCUUUCUUAGAGGGAUAGAGACCUGCAUAAAAGAAAAUGAAUUUACUUAGAUGUUCAAAAAUCAUGGAAAGGGAGAUCAGUUGACAUAGAGAGAGUUAUGUGGGUAACCCACCUUGUAAUGGAUUCUAACCAAUUCACCAUUUGAACAAGAAAAUUUUAUUGAUCUUUCACUACAAAAGGCUGUCAAAAUACUCAAAAAAACUCCACAGAAACCAAGAACUCUGAUAAGCUUUUUUAUAUUUCACCGCAUCCAUCUAUAUACAGAUAUAUAUCCUAUAAACGGAAUCUAACUGAUUCCUAAAUUGUAUAUGGUAACAUUAACAAAUACAUGGUAAGUCAAUCUGUCAAUCUUUUCUUAGAUGUACAGCCAAUAUGAUUCCUAAAUUGUAUAUGGUAACAUUAACAUUCCUAUAUGUACAAUCAAUAUGAUUCCUAAAUUGUAUAUGGUAACAUUAACAUGCCCCUUCAAAUUGAUGCUAGUAAGUCAACCAACAACAAUUUGCCAACAAGAAAUUGAUGUCGCUGUCAAGUCAAAGCUGUGGUGAAGAUAUCAGCCACUUGGAGAUCAAAAGAGAUGUGAGAAAGAGAUAUCACCCGACUUUCCAAGAUGUUUCGAAUAGAAUGACAAUCAACCUCAAUGUGCUUGGUAUGUUCAUGUAAAACAGGAUUGGUGGCAAUCUGAAUAGCACUAGUGUUAUCAGCAUGAAGAGGUGUAGAAGUAGUAUAAGGAAACCCAAGCUCCUUAAGAAGAUCGUGUAGCCAUACAAUUUUAGAACAAGCAGUAGACAUGGCACGAUACUCGACCUUAGUAGAAGAGUUACAAACACAAUCUUGUUUCUUACAUCUCCAAGAAAUUAAGGCAUCACCUAAAAACAUACACCAACUCGUAGUAGAUCGACAUGUAUCUGGACACCCAGCCCAAUCAACAUCACUAUAGGCAACAAGUUGAAGAGAAGAGUCAGUAGGAAAGAAUAACCCACAAGUAAGUGAACCUCGAAGAUAGCAUAUGAUGCGUCGAACUGCAACAAGAUGGAGAUGUCGAGGAGAAGUCUUAAACUGACUGACCUAAUGAACAACAUAGGAGAUAUCAGGUCGAGUAGUGGUCAAGAAGAUAAGACUCCCAACCAAGCGCCGAAAAAGAGUAGGAUCAUCCAGAAGGUCCCCUUCAUCUUUCCUGUAUUUGACAUUUUCCUCCAUAGGAGUAUCAACAAAAGAAGUGUCCUCCGAACCAGCCAAAGUGAUAAGAUCUUGAAUAUACUUAUGUUGGUUCACAAAAAUACCACUAGCCCGAUGAUGAACUUCCAAUCCUAAGAAGUAUGUGAGCUGUCCAAGAUCUUUCAUAUGGAAAGUUGUAUGUAACUUCCGCUGAAGCUUAGUAAUCAAACCACAGCCAGUGCCAGUAAUGAUAAUAUCAUCCACAUAAACCAAGAGAAGGACUAUACCCAACGCAGACGUGUGGAAGAAGAGGGAAGAAUCAUACUGACUUUGGGUAAAGCUGAAGGAAAGAAUUGUACUGUGAAACUUCUUAAACCAAGCUCGGGGCGCUUGCUUGAGCCCAUACAAAGAACGUUUUAGCUUACAAACAUCAUGAGGAGAAGAAUUAGUCAUACUAGAGGGAAGCUUCAUGUAAAUCUCUUCCUGGAGAUCACCAUGAAGAAAAACAUUCUUUACAUCCAUCUGAUAUAGUAGCUAUGACUGUGAAGCAGCAAUAGCUAAGAUGGUUCAAACCGUGGUCAUUUUGGCAAUAGGAGCAAAUGUCUCCUCAUAAUCAACCUCAUAUUCCUGCUUGUUACCCAGAGCUACGAGGUGAGCUUUGUACCGAUCCAAAGAGCCAUCAAAACGAAGUUUUAUAGAGAAAACCCAUUUACUCCCAAUAGGUUUGACUAUAGGAGGACAAGGAACAAUAUCCCAAGUAUGAUUCUCCUCAAUUGCUUGAAGUUCUGCUUGCAUUGCAUUUUUCCAACACUUAUGUUCCAUGGCCUGUUUGUAGCAAGAGGGAAUAGAAAUAGUGGAUAAAGUAGCAACAAGAGAGACAGGAGAGAAGAAUCCAUACCAAUCAGGGGGUCGAGAAAGACGAGUAGACCAACGAAGAGUGGUGGAAGCAGGAGCAGUUUUAUAAGGCCUCAGAUUGAAAACAAGGUGAGGUUCAACCGAGCUAAGGAUCCAGGUCAUAACCCGAGCAUCCUUCAUUUCCCACUUAGACAAAGCCUCGGCAUCACGAGGUGCAGGAUUACUCCCAUCAAUAUGACCCCAUAAUUCUUUUCCUUUGACAAAUAAUUUAAAUUGAAACUCCCAAGCACAAUAAUUUUUGCUAGUAAAUCUAAUAGGAAACGAUUCCAACUUAUCUGAUGACAUGAUGCAACCGAGAGACAAAGGAAAUAGCCCACCAGAAAAUUGAAACAUAAACGACCAAGAACCAGGUCGCGAUGAACCCGAUCAACACUGUUUUCGAUGCCAAGCAUUUGAUUGGUAGAAGAUCACGAACUCCACUCAGAAGGUGCCAAAACCUUGCUCUGAUACCAUGUCAAAAUACUCAAAAAACUCCACAGAAACUGAGAACUCUGAUCAGGUUUUUUAUAUUUCACUGCAUCCAUCUAUAUACAAAUAUAUAUCCUAUACAUGUAGUCUAACUGAUUCCUAAAUUGUAUAUGGUAACAUUAACAAAUACAUGGUAAGCCAAUUUGUCAAUCUUUUCCUAUAUGUACAACCAAUAUGAUUCCUAAAUUGUAUGGUAACAUUAACAUUCCUAUAUGUACAACCAAUAUGAUUCUAAAUUGUAUAUGGUAACAUUAAUAAAGGCAACCCUUUGAGUAGAGAUAAUGAGGAGGCCAACUAUAGGGCCUGCUGUUGUUUAUAAAUAACAUUGGGAAGCCUUCAAUAGCUUUUCUCCUUCUUUAACACCAAAAAUCUGCCUGCAAACUCUUUUCACGCCCUCAAGUUGAAGAAUCCUAGCCCCCAAGCUCAACUUUUCCUUCACAAUUUCAGAGAACUUAGGCCCUAAUUUCACUGCAGUUUUGCAAAUGAAAUAUGGUUAAAAUCAAGAUGUUCACUAUUUUUCUUAAUCUCAAGUGUAGGAAAAGAGAAACAGUUACAAACUUACAAUGUUCUCGGACUCCAUCCAAAAAAUUGUCUGCCUUCUUCCUAUUUUUGUUCAUCCUAUAAUUGGUUGAAUCCAUUUUUUCUGCAAUUUCAAGACAACACCAUUAGUAUAACAACUUCCAUUUUGAAGUCUUCUACAACUAAAACAACUGACAGGAAAAGUAGAGAGAGAAAGAGAGAGUUUUACUUGGGAUGAUUGCCCUAGAGCCUUUUGAAGGAGAUGGCCUAUCAUAUUGGAAGCUUAUUGGGAUUCCAACAACAUGCUCUGGGAGUUGGUUCUCCAUAUUUGUUGAAGUGCUGCAAUUCGGUAUCUCUUAUCUCCAACUGCCUCGUCAGUUGUCUUCAACAAGUAGUCUGGAAUGCUUUGGUUUAUAGAAAUUGAAGAAACGCUUUGAGGUUGAUCAAAACCUGUACAAUGCAGGUGUAUUUAAAGGGAUAGAAAUGGUGAAUGAAUCUUUAACUUUUAGUUGAUGACUCAUCCAUUGCUCAUCAACAUGAAUAAAAGCAUAGACAUAAAAAAAAUUGUACUUAAAAAUAGUCUGAGAUGAUGGUGUCUUCGGCCAUUUUUGAAAUACUAUUGUAAGAAGGACUUAUUCUUGUUUUGUUUAGUUCCCAAGAUAUAUCACAAGAGAGGUGUAUUUUAGUUGACUCAGAGAGUAUGUGAAGAUGAAGCCUGUUGAGCUAAUAUUUUAGCUUUCUGAUAUCAGCCCUCUUUCAAUACUACAAGAAAAAGGGAAAUGAGAAUGCAUUACUUCAGCCAAAUUUCAACCAAAUAAGAUAUUUUAGUGGUUCAUAAAGGAAGAUCGCAUCUAACCACCUAAUCAAACAACCUCUUUAUUCUAAAGGGUUUAACUUUGAAUAGGACUCUUCUAUUCCCUGGAAUUCAAUCAGUACUUCUCAGGAAUUGCCUAGACAUUGGGGAUCAUACAACUCAAGGUGGAGUUCACAGCAACUAUGGGAACAACCAGACCUCUUUCUAGACAAGAAAGUCUUGAGAACUUGGGUUCGCAGGAGAAUGAAAUUCAUGGACACUUUGGGUGCAAGGAAAAGGAAAGGCCCCUAAGGAAGGAUCAACCUAUGAAGUCAAGAGUUGAUUAAAGUGGUCAUAAAAGGAAAACUCACUAUGCAUAAACCUGAUAGGACCAACCUGCCUUGUGCUUAUCACAAGCUUUGCAGCUGUCUUUUUUAUUUAUCCAUGUGCUUAUCUCAAGCUUUUCAUUCCUUUUAUUCUCAUCCCUGGCUUUAAGGAAAAGGGGUGCUAGACAAGCCUCAUUAUUGAUGCAUCAAAAUGCAAGUCUCUAAAACCAAAAAAAAAAAGAAAAAAAAAAAAGAAGAGCAUAUUUGGCAUUUUUGAUUAAAUAUCAUUUAUUUUUUUAAAAGGAGAAAAUUGCUUUUAGAAAAUUCAUAGUAUUGUUUGACCGUUAUUCUCGAUUUCUAGUUUUUUUAAAUAAGAAAAUGAAGGAGAGAAUAAUUUUUAGAAAAAGAAUAAUUUAAGAAUAAUUUGCAAUUCAAAAAAUUGAUAAAAUUAAUUGUAGAAUAAAUCAAAGCAUUCUAGAAUUCUUUGUGCUCGUAAUUGAUUGCUACAUAUUUGCAUGUGAUUUUUUAUUUACUUAACGCGGCGCGGCGGCGCCUAACGGGCAGAUCAAGUCAGGUGAGGAGUUCGCGCCCGUUUAACGGAAAUUCAAGUUUUAAACAUUCCCGCGCUUACUUGCAUUACAAGGAUCCCAACGCCUAUAAAUAGAAACAGAAGAGCUAAAGAACAUAACAGCAAGCUUGUAGUUCUCUCUGAAGACCGCCUUCUUCUCUUGUUUUCUACUUCUUCUUCAGGUUUGCUUCCUUCUUUAUAUUUUGGGUUUUUGCUUGAGGGUUUUGAUUCAUAUCGAAGAUGGGUUGGUGGAUUUAUUUGGUAUUUGGAAUUGAGAAUCGGAGAUUUAAAGAUUCUGAUAGAUAUGGGUUUUGGAUUGAAGUUUUUAAGAAUUGGAAAGUUAAGGGUUUGAUGGAUGUGAAGAGAUGAAAUUAUUUUAUUUUAAUUGAUGUUUUGCAGCCAUUCGUGGUGGAUUUCUGAGUGUUUUAAAUUGAGGAUCAUGGUGGAUUUCUGAGGGUUUUAAAUUGAAGAUCAUAGAUUUAAGGGCUUUCUCGAUGUUGAUGUUAGGAUCUUGAAGGAUUUGUUUGGUGCAGCAAACUUAUAUGUUCUACCUAUGUAUUUUUUGUGAUGUAGCCAUGGACAUCAAGCCAUCAAGAUUGGUUGGAGACAAAAAUGAAAGGGGAAGAAGACAUGUGAACAACAUGGUUUGUUCCUAUUGGCUCCGUGGGAGGUGCAACAGAAACCCUUGUAGGUUCCUGCACCAAGAAUUGCCCCAAAACACCCACUAUCAAAUUUCAAAUCAGUUCCGCAAAAAUUGCUGGCAGAGGAAUCCCGACUCUGAUUCGAAGAGUGCAUCAAGUUUAACGAGUCUGGAUAGGCCAUCAGGUUCAACAACUCCGAAGCGUUCAUCAGCUUCAAAUCAAUCCCAUAGAAACCACAGGGAGGGGACUCUCUAUUCUGACCAGAAGGGUGAAUGGGACUCAACUAAUCUAAGGUGUUCAUCAAGUCCAACAAGAGCAGGAAGUAGCUCUGGAAAUGGAAUUACACAGAAUGUAAUUGGAGAAAGGGUCUGCAAGUACUGGCUACAUGGAAAUUGUGUGGAGGCAGAUAAGUGCCGGUAUCUCCAUUCAUGGUUUAAGGGCCAUGGGGUUUUCAAGUUGGCAGAGCUUAAUGGGCACAUCAAGGUAGUUGGUGCAGUAAUUAAGAUGGUGCUUUUGUUAAUUGGUUAAAUUGAACAUCUUAUCCAUGAGAAUUUUUUUUUCUUUGUUCAGGCCAUCUCAGGAAUUGUGCUUCCUUCUGGCUCAGAGAAGCUCUAUACUGCCAGUCGAGAUGGGUAUAUACGGGUUUGGGACUGCCAUACUGGUCAAUGUGAUGGUGUGGUCAAUCUUGGAGGGGAAAUUGGGUCCUUAAUCAGUGCAGGCCCUUGGGUAUUUGCUGGAAUAAAAGAUGUUGUUAAGGUAAGAUUGAAACACAUCUUAUUCCUUUUCUCUUCAAUUUGUUUGUUCAAUUCAGUUUAAUAAGAAUUUGAUGUAUGGGAUCGUAUCUGUGCUGGUACUGUUUCAGGCAUGGAAUAUUGAGUCUUGUGCUGAUGUCUCUCUUGACGGACCAGUUGGGCAAAUUUAUGCUAUGGUGGUGAAUAAUGAUAUGCUAUUCGCGGGGGCACAGGUAAAUUUCUUCAUAGUUUUUAACUUUCUGUGUCGUUCUAUUAGGAAUGGUAAUGAUUUGGUAUAUUAUAUGACCCCUUAAAAUGACUAAUGGAGUCCAACUUCCCAUUCUGCCUUACAACCUGAAAAUAGCAGUGUGAAAGAACUUGCACAUUUGAGUCCGACCCUUUUUUUUUUACUCUUUUUCUAUUUCAAAAUAUUGGGGUCACACUCCAAAGUUAUUUCUUAUUUUUUAUUUUGUUGUUGCAGAAUGGCACUAUACAUGCAUGGAAAGCCAAUAAGGAAACCAAUGCUUUUAAGCCAGCUACAACAUUGGAAGGCCACAAUGGUGCUGUGGUUUCACUCACAGUAGGCGGUGGGAGGCUUUAUUCUGGUUCCAUGGACAAUACAAUAAGAGUAGGUUUAAUUAAGCUCUUUUAUAUGCUAUGAUAUCAUUUUUCUAUGCAAAGUGGUUUGGAAAUAUGUCAGCUAGAGAUUUUACAUUAAGGGUGUUUGUUUUAUCAUUUCCUAUAAUGCGAAAACUGCUAAAUAGUCAUGGUCUAUUUGAAUAUCCAAAUUGUAAAAUUCAUGGGACUUCUUUAAUUGAAUAGUUACCAGAAUAUCUAGUUAAUGCUGUUUGACUUAAUAUUGCUCAGUUGUUCCAUUGUCAUGGUUUAUAAUAUUUCUUGAUGAAAUGUGUAUAUAUGAGUGAUUAUCAUAUUCCUUUCAGGUGUGGGAUCUUGAUACAUUACAAUGUAUUCAUGCACUGAAGGAGCAUGCAUCAGUUGUGAUGUCUCUUGUUUGUUGGGGUCCCUAUUUAAUAUCAUGUUCAUUGGACCAAACAAUUAAGGUCGGUUUCAUUUCUUACAUUUAUUAUAUUCACCAUGGAUAUUAGACCUGAUGUCUGUUCUGAUUCUUGUUUUGGUGCAGGUUUGGUUUGCUACUGAAGCUGGCAACCUGGAAGUGACUCACACACACAAUGAAGAACAUGUAGGUUAUUGUCAUUCAGUUCUUUUUUUAUCUUAAUUUAUGAACUGUGGAUUUUGGUUUGCUUCUAGGAACCCUUUUAUCAAGGGAAUGGUUGGUGGUAAUGCUGAUAUAUUGCUGUCAUAAUGCUGUUAUACUCUGCUUCUUGUUACAGGGUGUGCUAUCUCUUUUUGGUAUGAACAAUUCGGAAGGGAAACCAAUAUUGUUGUGCUCCUGCAAUGACAAUUCUGUGCGGCUUUAUGAAUUACCAUCGUGAGUAUAACCAUUACUUUCUAGGUUUUAUUUCCCUUCUUAAUUCAAUUAUUCUUGGUAAACAGAACAUUCUUCCCUGUUUCUUGGUUGACUAAUUUUAUUUGUUGUGGCAUAGAUUCACUGAGAAGGGCAGCAUAUUUGCAAAAGAAGAAGUCAGAGAGAUUCAGAUAGGUCCAGGGGGACUUGUUUUCACUGGGGAUGGAACUGGACAAGUUGAUGUUUGGAAAUGGCAGGCAGAGCCAACUUCAUUGACAUCUGAAUGAUGGAAGGCAGUUGUUAUCUCCAGAAAGCUAUGCUCUGAUUCUGGUUUGUCAAUAUGAUCAUUCACACGCAGAAUUCUCUUUGUAGUAAUCUUACAAACUGUAAAUUUGUAAUCUCCACUCAUUCAAUGAAAAUUCAUUUUGUCAUAUUAGUAUUGUCAUUGCCAACUCUUUGUUUCGAGGGUUAGUUCAUUUACCAUUGCUCCUAAGUCAUGCCCAGAAACUGGCAUUUUAGCCUUUGGGGAAGAUUCAGCUUUUGAACAAGCACCUCUAUUACUUGUUUUCUUUAGUCUGACUCAGAAUAUGUGAAGAUGCAUCAUUUUGAGCUUUCAUUUCAUCUUCCUGAUGCCAGACCUCUUUUAAUUCUAUAUGAAAAAGGGGAAUUGAGAAGACAUUAGAUCAGCUGAAUUACAAGCAGAAAGAUAAGAUAUUUUAAUGGUUUCACAGAGGAAGAUUGAAAAUAACUACCAAACUAGACAACCUUUUUGUUCUAAAUCAGAUCCUAUGAAUUUGACACAGAAAAGAGAGUUGGAUUGUCGAGGCUAGAACUAUGAGAGAACCCCACCAAAUAAUAGCGGCUACUUGUUUGGAAGGCAUGCCAUAUUAGCUGCUGGAAGGGCAGAUUCACUUUUAUUGGGGACUUGCCAUUUCUGUAGAAGCAAAUAGAAAGGAAACUCCCAGUGCAUAACAAGAGCCAGCUCAUCUAAGUUCACUCACCAACUUGGAAAGCAUAUAAAUCUAGUUCCAAGUUUGAUAGCCAAGCAAGUCAUGCUUCUGUAUUUCUAUCAGUAGGCCUGAAGAGUGGACACACAUAGAAAUAUAUUACAUUCAUUAUAAGUUUAUAACCCCAAUUACAGACAAAAGGCUUUCCAUAAAAUACAGAGGAAGAUGCACAAUAGCUUAUGACAUUCAAGUGCCUUGAGAUAUAAUCAAAAUAUAACAUAAGAGCAAUUUCCUUUUUCAUCUACAGUUUUACCAACUGCAAGGUUCUCAUAAACACAAUUGAAAAACAAUUCAUUUUUCUUAAGCCAGCAACAUUCUUCAGUCAAGUCUGGUCAUAUGCUUUAAGCCUCACAAAGAGAAAUCCCACUACCCCAAGUAGAUGAACCUGGAAUUGUUGUCAAUAAUUUGAUUCCCAGCGAAUGAGAUGUCCUCCAAUUUCUGUUUCACGGGACAACUGACAUAGUUGGAAUCAGGUGACAAGAUUAACCAUGUUGUUCAAUAUUCAACAUUGGAAUUGCUACUUGAGUUUCCCAAAAGCAAUUAGCAGGGUGGGUAAUCACAAUGGUCAUCAAUAUCUCUACCCAAAAGAAGACAAUGAAUUCAUGCUAUUAAGAUUGAGAAUAAUGACUAAUCAACCUUGGAUUCUUUGACUUAACGAUCUUGCACUAUGAUUGAGAAUCUAGCAGAGUUAAGAGCAAUUGCACAUGAAGGGGUUCGUUAGAGCAUGAUAUUCAUUGUAGGCUCAAAUUCUAAUACUUUAAUAACCUUUUAGGAAAAUUGGGAACUUAACAAAAGUCGUAGAAUUUUCAAAUAUAAUAAUGUAUUGGAUUUUGGCAGCUCAAUGUAUCUUUUUUCAAUAAAAUUAUAAUUUAAUACUCUUAGUUUGUUCAUAAAAAUUUACGUAUGAAACUAUAGUUCAAUAUGCUUACUGAUAUCCUACAACGAAUAAGAGAAGUUUCUGACACAAUAUAUGUAGUGAACUCUUCUUAACCAUGUCAAUACAUUUUAAAGUUGUGAGAACCUAUUAGGUCCAAAAUAAACAAUAUCUACAUAAGAGGGAGUAGAUCAUUACACUUACUAUAUUCAUGAAAGUAGAGAGCUGACUACAAUGAUAAUGUAGUUUACUUGACAUAGAACAACUAGCUAGUUGAGAAUGCUCUAAAAGGACUUGCAGUAGCUAGCUAAAGCAAAGUUUCCCUCAUCAUGAGAUAACUAGCCCGAUUUGAUUCACCAGAGGUUGCCUAACUCUAGAUCUUCUCAUGGAAGAGAGUAAUCUUAAUUUUCCUACCAAAAACUUCCCAGAUAAUGCUUGAAGGUGCCAUAAUCUAUAGCUCAAGCCAGACAAAAAGCAAAAGGCAUCACUGUCAGUAAAAUACCAAGCCUUUACUAUCUCCAAUUGUUUGGGCAGUUCUGUUUUCUAACCUUUCAUUUCACAGUGUCACUAUCAACAUUCAACAAAUGACUACAAACCUUAUGGUCUUAACUCAUCACACAAAAGUCACUUUGAGGUUGGAUAUCGCUUUAUUCAAUUCCUGUAACUCAACAAACCCAGUUGAGAAUCAGUUUCCCUAGGGUAUACAUCUUCGUAGUACAUUUGAUUAGGAUCAAUGGAAUAUGUCAUAUGCACAUAGUACACGAGACUUGACUAUGCCAUAUGUCAUUUGACUUAGAGCAAUGGAAUGUGUCAUAUGGCUUGGCUACUCAAGUACUAGCACAAUAUCACUUUGGAAGAACUUGUUCUGUGCACAAGUAGAAUAUAAGCAGUUGAAGAAUUGGAGAUCAAUUUCUCAUUAACAAAAAAAUUUGUACAAAGCCUUUGAUUGUGCAGAGCUUUAUCAGGUUGGUUGAAUGACAUAUCCUAGGAGUUGCUGACAUGGAGCUGAGUAGAUUGAAGUGGAAGUAGUCAAAUAAGUUAGUCAUGUGGAAGAUUUACCUAUUCCUUAGGAGUAUUUGUUGGUUUGUUUCUGUUCUUUAGGAAGUAUCUAUAGGUAGCAGGUUUGUUGCUAUUUUUUAUGUUUUUUUGUUUUAAGCUACUGUAUAAAUAAGUACUUUGAAGCUUAAUAAAUUAUAUAUCACUUUAGAUUCCUCAACGUUCUGUUGCUUCCUGAGAGUUUCUACACUUUGUUUCUAUCAAAACCAACAAAUUGGUAUCAGAGCCAAGUUCUUGAGUAACUUGUGAGGUGAGUGAGCCUAAAAAACCUACAAACAAUAUCCAAAAUGACCUCAAAAGCUUCACUGAAUGCACUGGCACCUCCAGUGUUUGAUGGAAUAAAUUAUCAAGUGUGGGCUGUCCAUAUGGAAGCUACCUUGAUGCUAGUGAUCUGUGGGAAGCUGUUAGUGAGUAAUAUGAAGUUCCUCCUCUGUCCGACAAUCCAACUAUGGCUCAAAUAAAACUACACAAUGAGAAGAGGCAAAGGAAAUCAAAGGCAAAAGCUAGUCUAUUUGCAGUUGUCUCAUCUACAAUUUUCACCAAAAUCAUGACACUGAAGAUAACAAAUGAAAUAUGGAACUUCUUGAAGAAGGAAUAUGAAGGAAAUGAACGAGUCAAAGGUAUGCAAGUGCUGAACCUGAUUAGAGAAUUUGAGAUGUAAAGGAUGAAAGAAUCAGAAACAAUCAAGGAUCACUCAGACAGACUUCUUAGUAUUGUUAACAAAGUAAGACUUCUUGGUACAGACUUUUCUGAUUCUAGAAUAGUUCAAAAAAAUUUUAUAACAGUUCCUGAAAAGUUUGAGACUACAAUAUCAUCUCUAGAAAACUCAAAAGAUGUGUCAAGUAUCACCUUGGUAGAGUUGUUGAAUGCAUUACAGGCUCAAGAACAAAGGAGGCUUAUGAGACAAGAAGGAUUUGUAGAGGGUGCAUUUUAGGCCAUAUCUCAGUACAAGAAAGAGAUGCAAAACAACAAUAACAAUAGCAAUAACACUCAAAAGUUUCUGCCAUGUUCUUACUAUAAAAAAUCCAAUCAUCCACAAAAAAGGUGUUGGUGGAGGCCGGAUGUAAGAUGUCAUAAGUGUGGUCAGCUAGGGCAUGUGGAAAGGAUAUGCAAAUCUCAACAGCAGCAGGGAGAAGUCAAGGCUGCUGUGGAAGAACUUCAAGAUGAGGAACUGUUUUUAGUAUCAUGGUUUGCCACUAAUAGCUCCCCAGAAACUUGGCUUAUAGACAAUGGUUGUACAAAUCAUAUGACUUAUGAUCUAGGGCUCUUUAAGGAACUUGACAAAACUGUUACUUCCAAAGUUAGAAUUGGAAAUGGAGCAUAUCUUGCAGUAAAAGGCAAAGGAAUAGUGGCAAUUGAAGGCCACACAGGUUUGAAAUUAAUCUCUAAUGUCUUAUAUGUCCCUGAGAUUAAUCAAAAUCUGUUGAGUGUUGGUCAGCUGCUGGAAAAAGGCUAUAAGGUGCUGUUUGAGGACAAUCAUUGCAUGAUUGCUGAUGCACAAGGCAGAGAGGUAUUUAUAGCCCAAAUGAAAGGCAAAAGCUUUGCCUUGGAUUUGAUGUAAGAAGAGCAGACUGCAAUUCACAAAGAAAAAAGCAAUACAAUGCUUUGGCAUAGGCGUUUGGGGCACUUUGAUCAUACUACCCUUCUCUUUAUGAAGAAGAACAAUCUUGGAGAAGGCUUUCUUGAAUUAUAGGUGAAGCCUCCUACUUGUGUAGCCUGUCAAUACGGGAAACAAACAAGACUUCCUUUCCCACAAAACAAGGCCUAGAGAGCUACUCAGAAGUUGUAGUUAGUACACAGUGAUGUGGGAGGACCUUAGAGAACACCAUCACUGAAUGACAGCAUUGAGCACCAGCUUACAACACCUUAUACCCCUCAACAGAAUGGAGUCAUUGAGAGGAAAAAUAGAACGUUUAUGGAAAUGACAAGGUGUUUGCUGCAUGACAAAGGGCUGCCAAAGAAAUUCUGGGCUGAGGCUACACAUACAUCAGUCUUUCUGCUGAAUAGAUUGCCAACAAAAGCUUUGCAACAAAAGAGUCCAUUUUGAAGCAUGGUAUGGCCAUAAACCAAGGCUGCAAAAUUUAAAAACAUUUGGUUGUCUUUGUUUCUGUUAUAUUCCACAUGUUAAGAGAGACAAAUUGGAUAAGAAAGUCAGAAUGCUGAUAUCUUAACCAAGCCACUUCCCAAAGCUAGAUAUGAGUUCUUGAGGCAUAGGAUUGGAGUUUGCAGCUCUAGAGACAAGGAGGAGUGUUGAAUGACAUGUCCUAGGAGCUGCUGACAUGGAGUUGAGUAGAUUGAAGUGGAAGUAGUCAAAUAAGUUAGUCAUGUGGAAGAUUUACCUAUUCCUUAGGAAGUAUUUGUUGGUUUGUUUCUAUUCUUUAGGAAGUAUCUAUAGGUAGCAGGUUUGUUACUAUUUUUUAUGUUUUUCUGUUUUAAGCUACUGUAUAAAUAAGUACUUUGAAGCUUAAUAAAUUAUAUAUCACUUUAGAUUCCUCAACGUUCUGUUGCUUCCUGAAAUAUUCUACACUUUGUUUCUAUCAAAACCAACAAGGUUCACGUAAAUACAUUUGUUGAAGCGGGAGGGAGGAAACUUAUGACUUGAAUCAGUUCUGGAGUGGAUUCUGCACUUGAGAAAUAGCCUCUCGAAGAUAGCUGAAAGCUUUUUGGUAAUUCAAGAAUCCCAUAAACCAGAAGUCAAAGUUAUCCAUGGUAACAAUUUCAAUGUACUUCUAAGAAGGAUUUUUCACAUUCUCACUUUGGUUGGCUCUCUUUAUCUUUCUUAGUGGGAUCGAGACCUGCACAAGACAAGUUUUACUUAGAUAUUGAGAAACAAGGAGAAGGAGAGGAAAAGAGAGAGUUAUGGGAGUCAUCUACCUUGUAAUGAAAUCUAACCAAUUCACCAUUUGGGGAAGAAAAUCUGAUUGAUCUUUCACUGAAAAAUGCAAGCCUUUGAGUUGAGAUAAAGAGGAGGCCUGCUAUAGGGCCUGCUGUUGUUGAUAAAUAACAUUGAGAAGCCUUCAACAGCUUCUCUCCUUUUCCAAAACCAAAAAUUUGUCUGAAAACUUUCUUCACCCCUCCAAGUUGAAGAAUCCUAGCCCCCAAUCUCAACUUGCCCUUCACGGUUUCAGAGAUCUUAGACCCUAUUCUCACUGCAGUUUGACCAAAAAGAAGAGAAAGUUAAUUAUCAUUCAAUGUUGUUCCGAAAAUUCAGUAUAGUUGUUGAAAAGAAACCAUUAUCUUACAACUAUGUGUCUAACCCCAAGUAGGGUCCUUAUGAUUCUAAGAAAUUCCCACCAACCAAACAGAGCAAAUAAAAAUUGAUGAAAGAAGAGGAAGAAGAUGGUUACAAUGCUCUCGGACUCCAUGCACAAAAUUUGCUGUCUUUUUCGGAUGUUUUUUCAUCCUAUGAUUCAUUGAAUCAAUUUUAUCUGCAAUUUCAGGAGACAACCCCUUUAGCAAAAUGACUUGUAUCAUUAGCCAAAGUAGACAAAAAUCAUAACAGUGCAAGUUCUUGAAAGAGUGAUUCUUACUUUGAGUUAACAUCAGAGCGCCAUUUGAAGGAGAGGGAUCAUUGCAUUGGCAGUUGAUUGGAAUUCUGACAACCUCUCCUGGAAGUUGGUUCUUCAUACUUCACUACUAUCUGCAAUUGCCUUUUGUGGCUUGUCUGCAACAAGUGGUCUGAAGCCCUCUCUAGUCUCAAAGAUUGAUGCAAUGGUUUUGGGGAUUGAUCAAGCCUUGUCCAAGUGCAAAUAUAUUUAAAGGGAUGAUGAGCCUUGUAACUUUUAUUUGAAUGAGUCCUCUAUGGUUCAUCAACAUGACUAAAGGCCAUACGCCACCUCUAUAAAUAAGUUUUCUUUAACUAAAAGAUAAUCAAGAAGAGGAUCUUUUCAGUUAUUUUCUAUAUAUGUCACACUUAUUUAUGGUUAGUUCUUCAAUUAUUCAAUCCUAACAAGCUUGAUAUGUUAACCUACUUUAUUAACUUGACCCUGUGUUGAUGUGUUGGUGAAGCUUUUUGAGCUGGCACUUUUGCUUUGUGAUGCAAGUGCUCUUCUCAAUUUAGCUGAUGAAACUCACAAGUCACAGAGCUGAUAGGACCAGCUUGCCAUAUUGCUUAUCCCAAGCUUUUUUUUUUCAGUUAUCUUUAUCAUUCUUUUAUCCUCAUCCUUACCUGUUAAGAAAAACCAGUAGCAGGCCAUUUUAACUAAAGAUUCUUCAACUUUUUCUGAAUACAAAUCUCUACAUUAAACCAUAGAAAGUUAGUGAAGGAAUCUAAGGCUGCCUUUAAACGUUACACUGCUGAUGAAGGAUGACAUGAAUAUUAGGUGUUUUUGGAAAAAGAAGAUUCACCGCAUCAUAGCCACAUCAGCUCCAUUUCCCACUGUCAUGCUCAAAUUCAACUCUGGGAUUUUCAAUUUUUUUACUGUUGUGAAGCCUAGAUGUCUGAAAGAGGGUGUUCAAUAUUAUUUUGAGGAUUAAAAGUCAUGAUCAUGUUGAUUGAUCACUUCAGAUUCACAGUAAUCAGGGAACUAUAACUGAUUCAGGCAGGGCAAUAUAGAGCAAACUCCUUUGGAAUUGCACUAGUUCAGCUCUAUAGCCAGCUUUUAUAGCAUGAAAAAAAAACUUCUAAAAUAGCAAUUACUCCAGAGUGACUCAUGCUAUAUACUAGUGGAAAACAUCGGUUAAAGAAUGGCCUAUGCAGAGCUAAGCACAUCAGUGAAGCAGAGGGGAAGAAAUGUAUCAGUUUGAAUCACUUUUUGAGUGGAUUUAAAGCUUAAGAGAUUGUCUGUUGAAGAUAGUUGAAAGCUUUCUGAUAAUUUAAAAACCCUGUGAAACAGAAGCCAGAAUUCUUUAACAGACACUCUUGGGGAAGAAGCCUUCAACAGCUUCUCGUCUUUUCCAACACUGAAAGUUUUCUUGAAAACACUCUUAACCCCUUCUAUUUGAAGAUUCCCAUCCUCCAACCUCAACUUCCCCUUCACAGUUUUAGAGAUCUUAGGCCCCAGUCUCACUGAAGUUUCACAAAAUUCUGUUUGGUUGUUGAGAACCCAUAGGAGAUGAAAGAAAAUUCCAUCAUGUUAUAACUAUCUUUCCAGCCCUCAUUCCAAUGGUCUCAAGGUUUUCUAUAAUUUUCCUCCAUUUUUCCAUAAACCAAACGGAAAAUCUGGUUGUAGAAUAAAAGAAAGAAAGACUUAUAAUGCUCUCAAGCUCCAAGCACAAAAACUUUCACCAUUUUCCCAUAUUUUCUAGUCCUAUUAUUCACAGAAUCUACGUAUCUACUGUUUGAAAAGAACGCCCUGAAACAAAUUCAACUUCCCGAAAGAGGGAAGGAGUAUCUGUCUUCUUUUGAGUGAUCCAUAAUCUUUGAUUCAUUGGUUUAGAGUUCGAUAGUUCUAUCCUAACACUAUAUUUUACUCCCUUUUCUUAUGCUGGCUAUGUAUGGAUAUGUCAAUGAAGCACUUUGAGCCAGCAUUUUUGCUUUGUGAUCCUAGUAAAAAAAAAGGAAAGUGAAAAAGACAUUUGCUAAGCAAAUUUAUCAUUAUAUCACCUGAAUUACAGGGUAAAAGAUUAGAUAUUGUAAUGAUUUUUCAAUAAAUGAUGAUUGUCUGUCAUACUGUCAUCUAUGGGAGAUUACAUCCAACUACCAAACCAGAUCACUAAUUUGUCCUAAAUGGUUGAAUGUUGAAUGGGAUUCUUGUAUUCGCUGGAAGGACAUCAGCAAUUUCUGGGAAUCACCUCAACUUGGUAUGCUUUUAUUGACCCAAUUUCCAUAAAUUCAGACUCCUAAGAGAGUGUAAACGAUAAAAUUGGGGGAGUUUGAUGUCAUAGUUUAAGGGAUUGGAGGUCCCAUGACUCAAAAUGGUGCUAACAGCUACCUUAGGCAUUGGAAGUCAUAGAAUUUUCAGAUAUUAUAGUUUAAUGGACUUUGGAAACUCAAUGUAUCGUUUUACUGAUGAAAUUAUAAUUCAAUGUGCUUAAUCUGUUCAUAAAAGUAUGGAGCUGGUACAAUGAUAAGGUAGUUUAAUUCACAUAAAACUCAACAAUAUGUUUCCAAGACCAAUGAAUUCCAUAGGCCUGUAUGAGGGUAUCAAUUGGUGUCUCAAGUUUCUUAGAAAUGGGAUUGCCAAAAAGGAAGUGCAGAAGCUGGAUAAAGUAAAGGCUUCCUCAUCACAAGACAGCUUACCUGGUUUGAUUCACCAGAGGUGGCCUAACUCAAGAUCUUAUAGAAGAAAGUAAGCCUAUUUGUCCUAGUAAAAGCUUCUGCAAAAAUACUUGAGGUUGGAUAUCACUCUGUAUAUGGUUUUGGAACUCAGAGAUCCAUUCAAUUCCUGUACCUCAACAAAAGCUAUUGUUAAUCUGUUUCCUCAGGUAUUAUGUCUUCAUACUACACCAGAACACAUUUGACAAGAAGCAAUGGAAUGUGUCAUACAGCAUAUAAUACAACAGACACAACAUAAAGAGCUGGGGUUUAUGUGAUAGCAUAGCUACUAUAAUACUAAAACAAUAGUCACUUUGGAAGAACUUGUUCCAUGCACUGAAUAGAAAAUAUGGUUGAAAAAUUGGAAAUCAAUUUCUCAUUAGCAAAAAAAUUGUACAAAGCCUCUGACUGUACAGAUCCUUAUCAGGUUCAUGUAAAUACAUUUGUAGAAGUUGGGGGGAAGAAACUUUGAAUCACUUCUCAACGCUUCACAGAGUGCCUGUUGGAGGUAGCUGAAAGCUUUCUGGUAAUUCAAGAAUCCCAUAAACCAGAAGUCAAAGUUAUCCACAGUAACGAUUUCCAUGUACUUCUGAGAUGGAUUUUUCACAUUCUCGCUUUGGUUGGCUCUUUGUAUCUUUCUCAGUGGGAUAGAGACCU
rnacentral:lncRNA from 1 species